UAGAGGUUUUUGUAGGUAUAUUUGUGUCAGCCCCAUUAUAAUCUAAGUGCAUGAAAUCAAAAUAAGAAAUUCUUAAGCUAUCAAAAUAUUACAAAUCGAACAAAAA